CCUACGGGAGGCAGCAGUAGGGAAUAUUGCGCAAUGGAGGCAACUCUGACGCAGCGACGCCGCGUGAGCGAUGACGGCCAUUUUGGUUGUAAAGCUCUGUAGAGGGGGAAGAAUGUUACGGUGCAGAGCCGUAAGUGACGGUACCCCUAAAGUAAGGACCGGCUAAAUACGUGCCAGCAGCCGCGGUAAU
rnacentral:rRNA from 1 species